rnacentral:rRNA from 1 species
CCUACGGGAGGCAGCAGUAGGGAAUCUUCCGCAAUGGACGAAAGUCUGACGGAGCAACGCCGCGUGAGCGAAGAAGGCCUUCGGGUCGUAAAGCUCUGUUGCCAGGGAAGAACGUCCGGUAGAGUAACUGCUGCCGGAGUGACGGUACCUGAGAAGAAAGCCCCGGCUAACUACGUGCCAGCAGCCGCGGUAAU